AUACAUCUUGUUAAAAGAUUCCUGCUUGUGCAAUGGCUGCAAACAGCCUCCUUGGUAGUGUAUGCAACCUGUUGCCUGUACAGGUAGCCCUAAGGGACCUUGGAGACAACU
rnacentral:snoRNA from 1 species